UACAGAGGUGGCAAGCGUUGUUCGGAAUUACUGGGCGUAAAGGGCGCGUAGGCGGCCUUCUAAGUCAGACGUGAAAUCCCCCGGCUUAACCUGGGAACUGCGUCUGAUACUGGGAGGCUUGAGUAUGGGAGAGGGAUGUAGAAUUCCAGGUGUAGCGGUGAAAUGCGUAGAUAUGCGGAGGAACACCGAUGGCGAAGGCAAUCCCCUGGGCCUGCACUGACGCUCAUGCACGAAAGCGUGGGGAGCAAACAGG
rnacentral:rRNA from 1 species